rnacentral:lncRNA from 1 species
CCAGAGGACCUGCCAGGUGGAGGAACGCGAACUGGGGGUUGUGGGGGUGGCUUUGUGGAGUCAGCCACCCUCUUUAGUUCUUGCUUGGGCUUCGCUCCCAGCUCUAAGGACACCUGCCAUCUAGAGCGCUUUCUCUGUUAAAGUAGAUUUUCAGCCAGCCAAACUGCUCUCAGUAUAGAUUACCAGGAUGUCCCAGACACUUUAACCCUGUGUGUGGCAGUGACAUGUCCACUUAUGCCAAUGAAUGUACUCUGUGCAUGAAAAUCAGGGAAGGUGGUCAUAAUAUUAAAAUCAUUCGAAAUGGACCCUGCUGAUGGAGCAGUUUACAGAAAAGAAGAUGGAGAGACCACCUUCACUGGCAGACUAGAUAAAUUGCAUUUCCCCUUUUUCUCUUUUCCUGUGUUUCUUUACAUGAGAUUUGUUAACACACAUUUUCUGAGAGCAGGUAUGGAAGACAGCCAUGUGUAGUGAUGGAUAAUUUAAAGAAAAAAAGAAUCCUUGUUUCUUGGCUUUUGCUCCUGGAGUUAAGCUUACUGCCCAGGUGACUUGUGCAUUGCUUUAUUUAGUUGAAAUAAAAUCAGCAUUGAAUUCAG